rnacentral:tRNA from 1 species
GCCCGAGUGCUGGAAUGGUAGACAGCCAACACUUAAAAUGUUGUGAGGAUUAUCCUCGUGUGGGUUCGAUUCCCACCUCGGGCACUA